rnacentral:rRNA from 1 species
AUUGAACGCUGGCGGCAGGCCUAACACAUGCAAGUCGAGCGGAGCGGCGGACGGGUGAGUAAUGACUAGGCAUCUGUCUGGUAGUGGGGGAUAACGUCGGGAAACGGGCGCUAAUACCGCAUACUAGCAGAUGAGCCUAGGUCGGAUUACCUAGUGGGUGGGGUAAGGGCCUACCAAGGCGACGAUCCGUAACUGGUCUGAUAGGAUGAUCAGUCACCCUGGAACUGAGACACGGUCCAGACUACUAUGGGAGGCAGCAGUGGGGAAUAUAGGACAAGGGGAGGGAGCCUGACCCGACCAUGCCGCGUGGGUGAAGAAGGUCUUCGGAUUGUGAAGCUCUUUAAGUUGGGAGGCGUUACCAACAGAAUAAGCACCGGCUAACUUCGUGCCAGCAGCCGCGGUAAUAC